CACGUAGGGCGCAAGCGUUGUCCGGAAUUAUUGGGCGUAAAGAGCUCGUAGGCGGUCUGUUGCGUCCGCUGUGAAAACUCCGGGGCUUAACCCCGAGCCUGCAGUGGAUACGGGCAGACUAGAGGUAGGUAGGGGAGAAUGGAAUUCCCGGUGUAGCGGUGAAAUGCGCAGAUAUCGGGAGGAACACCGGGUGGCGAAGGCGGUUCUCUGGGGCCUUACCUCGACGGCCUGGAGGAGCGAAAGCGUGGGGAGCGAACAGG
rnacentral:rRNA from 1 species